rnacentral:rRNA from 1 species
AGGACGAACGCUGGCGGCGUGCUUAACACAUGCAAGUCGAGCGGAAAGGCCUUUCGGGGUACUCGAGCGGCGAACGGGUGAGUAACACGUGAGUAAUCUGCCCAUCGCUUCAGGAUAGCCAUCGGAAACGGUGAUUAAUACUGGAUAUGACAUUCCUUCGCAUGUUGGGGUGUGGAAAGUUUUUUCGGCGGUGGAUGUGCUCGCGGCCUAUCAGCUUGUUGGUGGGGUAAUGGCCUACCAAGGCUUUGACGGGUAGCCGGCCUGAGAGGGUGACCGGCCACACUGGGACUGAGACACGGCCCAGACUCCUACGGGAGCAGCAGUGGGGAAUAUUGGACAAUGGGCGGAAGCCUGAUCCGGCAACGCCGCGUGAGGGAUGACGGCCUCGGUGUAA